rnacentral:rRNA from 1 species
UACGGAGGGUGCGAGCGUUAUCCGGAAUUACUGGGUUUAAAGGGUGCGUAGGCGGCUAUGUAAGUCAGGAGUGAAAGUUUGCGGCUCAACCGUAAAAUUGCUUUUGAUACUGCAUGGCUGGAAUCAGGAUGAGGUCAGCGGAAUGUGGCAUGUAGCGGUGAAAUGCAUAGAUAUGCCAUAGAACACCAAUUGCGAAGGCAGCUGGCUAGACCUGGAUUGACGCUGAGGCACGAAAGCGUGGGGAGCGAACAGG